CGGGGUGUGGCGCAGUCUGGUAGCGCGCCUGCUUUGGGAGCAGGAUGUCGGGAGUUCGAAUCUCUCCACCCCGACCA
rnacentral:tRNA from 1 species